UACGUAGGGGGCAAGCGUUGUCCGGAUUUAUUGGGCGUAAAGAGCGUGUAGGCGGUUAGGUAGGUCCGUUGUGAAAACUCGAGGCUCAACCUCGAGACGCCGAUGGAAACCAUCUGACUAGAGUCCGGAAGAGGCGAGUGGAAUUCCUGGUGUAGCGGUGAAAUGCGCAGAUAUCAGGAGGAACACCUAUUGCGAAGGCAGCUCGCUGGGACGUAACUGACGCUGAGACGCGAAAGCGUGGGGAGCAAACAGG
rnacentral:rRNA from 1 species